GAUAUAUGACCAAAUAUUUCUAAUUUUCCCUUCUCAUCUGGGGAAAAAAGUUGCGUAAAAUCAUUCUCCCCAUUUCCCUUCUCAUCUGCGUACUCAGGGAUCUCAAGCUGUGCGAGCUGCUGUGGAUAGCGAAUGAAUCGAUUUUGGGUAUUCUAGGGUUUCACUCGUGAGCAGCAGUCGGAGAAGAAUCAAAGCCAUAUUCAGAAAUAUUGCACCGGUAGAAGUGAACAAUCCAUUUGGAAAGUUCUCACCAGGUUUGAAUUGAUUUUUGCGUUUCAUUUUGGCCCAAAUAUAAGGCUUGGGCUUUACUUUUUCACGGUAUCGGUCUUCAUUCGGAAAAGACAUUUGGGCCUUAUUCAUUCCAAACUACUCGCUAUUUGUCUCAAAAUUUGAUAUCCGGAAGUGGUAGUGUAUCUUGUUCUCUUGAAUGUGUUAGAUUGAACAUAUUGGUUGCACUUGUUAACAGAUUAAAACUUCAGAAAUUAGCCUAUACAAGUUUGGGGGUUGGUUCAGCGUCUCCAUAUGAAGAAAAAGUAGGACUAACCUUUCCUACCUACUAGGUCUCUCAUCCUCUUUAUAGGUAGGAGCCUUGUACAGAAUUGCAUUCUUUGUUCUGGCAUUCACCAAGUUGAGUCCUAAAGAAAAAGAAA